AAAGAGCAGGGGAUAAUCAGUUUCAGUUUUCUUUUUUAGUGAGAGAUCCCUUUUCUUCUCUCUUUUCAGUCUCUCGUUCCAGCUACCUCUUUAGUGGCCAUCCUGUGCCCUUUGGGCAGGGAAAGGCUUCUCCCUUAACUAAACGGUGGCUUUUCCCAUCUUUUUUUUUUGGCUGGGUUUAGUUUUAGCUUUAUUUGUGUUUUGAUUAAAUGACUGCGGUUUUGAGCUUCAAGGUGAGGGAUUGGAGCAUUUCAGAAUUUAUGUGUUCAGUUUCUAACUUUUAGGGUUCCCCGUUGACUGGCAUAAUAAAAGGUGUUGGAUCGCUGUUUCCAUCGAGGCUACACAAAAAUGAGAGGCCUGUGAUUUGUCAAGUCACUUCCUGGCUUUGCCCAGCACUAGUCAUAGCCUUUUAUUUUCUUCCAGCGCUAUGAAGAUUUAAUGUAAGGGAGUUAUUUGGAUUUGGGUGGAGCAUUUUGCGUCCCUUUGUUAGUGAUGUUAGUCUCUCCCGUGCAUGUGUGUUUUUCUGGUCAUGCAACUUCUCCUUGGUGGUCUCUGCUGAUGAAGGAAGAGGAGAUGACGGUUGCUACUGAAUUUGGAUUCUGGUCAAACCCGUUUAGAUCUAGGAAUCCAUGUUUGUAAGUGUUGAGCCCAACGUUCUUGGGCUUGGGUUUGAAGCUAUUAUAACGCAGUGUUCUAUUAAUGGGCUUGACCUUGCGCUCAAGUUUCG
rnacentral:misc_RNA from 1 species